GGGUUGCAAUCCCAUUUGAAAUCCAGUAGAAUGUUAUGAACCAUCUGCUCAGAAAAGGCAUUACCCUCAUGGAAGUGUGUAUGUCAUCUUGGGGGCAUCAUGGAGUUCCAGAAUCCACAGGCACUUGACUAAGAUCUGGUUUUGUUUGUUUGUAGUUGUGUUUGUUUGCUUGUUUUGCAGGAAAUAAAAGAGCAUUUAAGCUAGAGGCAAAUAAGAAGCAAUGGCAACAAUUCCUUGGACUCAGUCAAUCUUAACAAUUUUUCCUAACAUUUGACCCUUUACAGAAACAUUUUCUGUUUUGUUUUAUUUGUUGAUUGCUGGAAAGGAAGCUAUUGGGUGAAGUAGGCAAAAGGAAAAUCCAGAUAGGCCUAAGCUUUGACAUGCAAAACAUGCUUAGCAGAUUUGUCCUCAGAGGCUGGAGGCAAAAGCAGAAAGGCUACCUUCCUAAGCCCAUCCCGGGGAAGGACACUGGGUGGGAAUCAUUCAUGCAGUCUGGCCCCACCAGAUUUCAUUAACAUCUCAUGGUACCAAGAUGCCAAUCUGGUACUAGUCAGUGUCCAUAUACUCAGAAAGAGACAUGACACAAUUCUCCAAUGUUCAGCUAACAUCCCUACCCCCUUCCAAAUACAGUAAACGAUGGCCCCAACUCAAGUGACCUUUCCAUCAGGGUGAGAUACCCCUAAUAACAGUCUUUAGCCCUGAAUCAUUCAGAGUCCAAUGACCUCUGAGGAAACAAUAAGUUCAGAGAAGUGUGAGAAUCUAGGUUCCCCUCUUCAGUACAGGUCAAUGGGUAUUUUCACUUCAGUAGAGUUUGGAGCUUGAGAGAAUCCAGCCAUCCAGUGUCCUAGGAGCUGCUCACAACAGACAUUCUGGGAAGAUGAAGACAGCAUACAAAGGAGAAACAGACACAUGUAUAAGACAUGUGCUCCUUAUUUUAUGGCUUCCCAGACACUGAAGGUACAAGGCCAGAAAUGAGCUGCUCUUCAUCACCAAAUAGCUCACAAGUGUUUGAAGUAGACCCUUUUACAACCUCAAAAGGGUCCCUCAAGGCCAAGUCUUUUCAAACCU
rnacentral:lncRNA from 1 species